UAACUCCAACCUCAAGCUCCAAGAGUUGACUAGAAAACACCUCCUUUUGUCUUCAACUUACUACUUUUCUACUCAAAAGUAACUUGUCUCAGACUAUCCUCAAGAAUAAUCAGUUGCCAUAUGUAGAUUAUCUUGAUUCUUCGAACUCACUUCUAAGAUAGACCAAAUGCCACUGGUUGAUUACCUCCUUCAUGAAUCCUCAUAUGAAAAAGUCAAAUGUCA
rnacentral:lncRNA from 1 species